AUGAACGCUAGCUACAGGCUUAACACAUGCAAGUCGAGGGGCAGCAUGAACUUAGCUUGCUAAGUUUGAUGGCGACCGGCGCACGGGUGAGUAACACGUAUCCAACCUGCCGAUGACUCGGGGAUAGCCUUUCGAAAGAAAGAUUAAUACCCGAUGGCAUAGUUCUUCCGCAUGGUAGAACUAUUAAAGAAUUUCGGUCAUCGAUGGGGAUGCGUUCCAUUAGGUUGUUGGCGGGGUAACGGCCCACCAAGCCUUCGAUGGAUAGGGGUUCUGAGAGGAAGGUCCCCCACAUUGGAACUGAGACACGGUCCAAACUCCUACGGGAGGCAGCAGUGAGGAAUAUUGGUCAAUGGACGAGAGUCUGAACCAGCCAAGUAGCGUGAAGGAUGACUGCCCUAUGGGUUGUAAACUUCUUUUAUACGGGAAUAAAGUGAGGCACGUGUGCCUUUUUGUAUGUACCGUAUGAAUAAGGAUCGGCUAACUCCGUGCCAGCAGCCGCGGUAAUACGGAGGAUCCGAGCGUUAUCCGGAUUUAUUGGGUUUAAAGGGAGCGUAGGCGGACGCUUAAGUCAGUUGUGAAAGUUUGCGGCUCAACCGUAAAAUUGCAGUUGAUACUGGGUGUCUUGAGUACAGUAGAGGCAGGCGGAAUUCGUGGUGUAGCGGUGAAAUGCUUAGAUAUCACGAAGAACUCCGAUUGCGAAGGCAGCCUGCUGGACUGUAACUGACGCUGAUGCUCGAAAGUGUGGGUAUCAAACAGGAUUAGAUACCCUGGUAGUCCACACAGUAAACGAUGAAUACUCGCUGUUUGCGAUAUACAGUAAGCGGCCAAGCGAAAGCGUUAAGUAUUCCACCUGGGGAGUACGCCGGCAACGGUGAAACUCAAAGGAAUUGACGGGGGCCCGCACAAGCGGUGGAGCAUGUGGUUUAAUUCGAAGCAACGCGAAGAACCUUACCAGGUCUUGACAUCCACUUAAACUUACAGAGAUGUAAGGUGUGCUUGCACAAAGUGAGACAGGUGGUGCAUGGUUGUCGUCAGCUCGUGUCGUGAGAUGUUGGGUUAAGUCCCGCAACGAGCGCAACCCUCGCCGCAUGUUGCCAGCGGGUGAUGCCGGGAACUCAUGUGGGACCGCCGGGGUCAACUCGGAGGAAGGUGGGGAUGACGUCAAAUCAUCAUGCCCUUUAUGACCUGGGCUACACACGUACUACAAUGGUCGGCAACAAAGGGCAGCGAAGCCGCGAGGCGGAGCCAAUCCCAGAAACCCGACCCCAGUUCGGAUCGCAGGCUGCAACCCGCCUGCGUGAAGUUGGAAUCGCUAGUAAUCGCAGGUCAGCAUACUGCGGUGAAUACGUUCCCGGGCCUUGUACACACCGCCCGUCACACCAUGAGAGCCGGGGGGACCCGAAGUCGGUAGUCUAACCGUAAGGAGGACGCCGCCGAAGGUAAAACUGGUGAUUGGGGUG
rnacentral:rRNA from 1 species